AUUUAAGAAGCUGAUCUAUUCUAAGUUGCAACGUGUAUGGGGCUAGAGGAGGAUAUUGAAGUAACAGAUGAUAUUGGUAUUGUAGAUGCUAUUCUAGCAUCUAGUGCUGAAAUGAAGCAGAUCUCUUGGAUUCGUAGCGUUGCCAAAUUUUAUUAGGGCCUGUCUUUGUUGUAAAGUAGUGUAUUUUCAGAGAAAAGAUUUGAGAAUGACAUCGAAAGUAAACGAGUCAUCACAACUUGGCAUUCUAUAUUGUUGUGAAUUAAGAGACCUCCAUUUUUCUUUCUUGGCUGGUUAAAUACCAUGGCGUAAAUGGUGCCGUAUGGUUCUUGGAAUGGAUUCUCUUCACUCAAAAUAAGAACUAAAAGAUUCAUUCAAUAUUGAAACUCAAGACGAGGUAAAAAAAGAAGAAAUUACAUUGGAGGAGAUCGAUGCCUUAGAGGAGGUUCGUCUUGCAAUUGAGUAUAUUUUCAUACCCAGUGGAAAGUAUGUUGAACUUCUCCCAAGGUGGUGAUCUGAGACAGUUGCCCAACACCUCAAGCUGGUUGAGAGCUAUUGGAAGAUGCCUGUAGCUGGUUGCAAAAUAUUCAGGUAUUGAAUCAAGCCCGAGGCUGCAAAUCUUUCCUCAGAAUCUAUACACGAAGAUUUUUGCAAAGCUGGCGAGAUCCAUUUCAAGUCAGAAUAUCACAGAUUAUGAGAAGAAAAGAGGUUGAUUUGAGCUGAUCAGGAUCAAAAUGGAGAAACGAAGUGCAGCUGGAAGACCUAGAGCAGAAAUCAGCCUCAGUUACCGUAAUCGCAGUUUGAGGGCUGCGAUCAUGGCUAGUUAAGCCAUGUCAAAUGAACUCUAUAGGGGUGCUCUUAAUGCGAUCGCGGUCAAGUUUCAGCGAUCGCGACAACGCGGGAUUAUGCUUAAGGGCAAUUUUCUAAUUUGUCCCAGUCGACCACAAAUUCCUUAAAGGAUCAAACAAUUCUCAUUUUUGGAUAUUCUAGAGAUUUUUAUCCUAUCCUUUAGUUUAGGAUUUUUGUAUCACUUGGAGCUUGGAGCAAAAUUUGUACUAAUCUUGAGAUAAGAAGAUACUAGAGUGACUCCUAAGUGAAGAACUGACAAAUCCCAUAGAGGAUUCAUCGGAAUUUAAAGUGUGGUUCGCAUUCACUUUAUUUUUCAUGAAUCAAAUUGAUAGAGAUGUUGGUAUAUUUUUGUUUAUUAUCUUUAUGAGU